GAUGAACGCUGGCGGCGUGCCUAAUACAUGCAAGUCGAGCGAACAGACGAGGAGCUUGCUCCUCUGACGUUAGCGGCGGACGGGUGAGUAACACGUGGAUAACCUACCUAUAAGACUGGGAUAACUUAGGGAAACCGGAGCUAAUACCGGAUAAUAUAUUGAACCGCAUGGUUCAAUAGUGAAAGACGGUUUUGCUGUCACUUAUAGAUGGAUCCGCGCCGCAUUAGCUAGUUGGUAAGGUAACGGCUUACCAAGGCAACGAUGCGUAGCCGACCUGAGAGGGUGAUCGGCCACACGGGAACUGAGACACGGUCCCGACUCCUACGGGAGGCAGCAGUAGGGAAUCUUACGCAAUGGGCGAAAGCCUGACGGAGCAACGCCGCGUGAGUGAUGAAGGUCUUCGGAUCGUAAAACUCUGUUAUUAGGGAAGAACAAAUGUGGAAGUAGCUAUGCACGUCUUGACGGUACCUAAUCAGAAAGCCACGGCUAACUACGUG
rnacentral:rRNA from 1 species